GACAGAGGCCUCGAGCGUUAGGCGGAAUCACUGGGCUUAAAGCGUGUGUAGGCGGAGGCGUAAGUACCUUGUGAAAUCCCACGGCUCAACCGUGGAACUGCUGGGUAUACUGCGUCUCUUGAGUCACUCAGGGGCGAGCGGAACAGAUGGUGGAGCGGUGAAAUGCGUAGAGAUCCGGAGGAACACCGAAAGCGAAGGCAGUCUCCUGGCAAGUUACUGACGCUCAGGUGCGAAAGCUAGGGGAGCGAACAGG
rnacentral:rRNA from 1 species